CCUACGGGAUGCAGCAGUGGGGAAUAUUGCACAAUGGGGGAAACCCUGAUGCAGCGACUCCGCGUGAGUGAAGAAGUAUUUCGGUAUGUAAAGCUCUAUCAGCAGGGAAGAAAUAGCGACCUUUGGGUCGCCAGACGUUACCUGAUUAAGAAGCCCCGGCUAACUACGUUCCAGCAGCCGCGGUAAUACGUAGGGGGCAAGCGUUAUCCGGAUUUACUGGGUGUAAAGGGAGCGUAGACGGCAACGCAAGUCUGAAGUGAAAUGCCGGGGCUUAACCCCGGAACUGCUUUGGAAACUGUGCAGGUAGAGUGCAGGAGAGGUAAGUGGAAUGACUAGUGUAGCGGUGAAAUGCGUAGAUAGUAGGAGGAACACCAGUGGCGAAGGCGGCUUACGGGAAUGUAACUGACGUUGAGGCUCGAAAGCGUGGGGAGCAAACAGGAGUAGAUACCCGUGUAGUC
rnacentral:rRNA from 1 species